CAGGAGAGAGGACAGUUGGCCAGCGGCGCGGGCCAGGGACGCUGGCAGGCCCGGCCUGGCGGCGACGGGUGGUGCAAGGGGCGAGGAGCAAUUUGUACGUGUCUAAGGACUGAUGAACAGAGUGUUAUUUUCUACAUGAGCAUUUCUGACCAUCUUCUGGAAGGCACUCAUCAUGAAAUAUAUAUUUCUGCUUCAAGUAAUCACUGCUAUGGCCAGCAGUAAUUCCCAUGGUCACAACAAGCACAUAAAGUGCCAACUGUAGUUGUCAUCACCCAAUCACAUGUUAUGUUUACUCAUAACAGCUUUACGAGAAGCAACACUCCAGCAGGAAAGACUUCACUUAAUUUCUGCCCGUGAUGCAGCUGUUUAAGCCACAGUGCCACCAGCCCUGCCUUAACGAAAAGAUAGUUCUGUUAAUUGUAAGCACAUUUGUCACCUGUUCCUCAAUGUACCCUCUAUAAUAAAGUCCCUGGCGUGCAUCCGUGUCUUCGUUGGA